rnacentral:lncRNA from 1 species
CUGAUAUUAUAAACUUUUUUUUUUUUCUCUAAAAAUGAUCUCAUUUAAGAUUCUUGGAAGAGCCUCUUACACUUAGAUGCCCCAACCCAAAUUGCUGCUGGAUGCCUUUUUCCUGAAUAUGACAAAAUGAGGAUAUGUGGAUGAUGACCCUGUCUUGUUUGGUGGCACUGCUUGUAGCAAAUCACAUCAUAAAAUACACAACUGAAAGACUUUCUUAAACAUCACUGGGGCAUGGAUCCUCACCUUGUUAAAGUAGUAAAGACAAAAACUGACAAAAGGAAAACGGAUAGUCCAGCUUAGUCCUACAGAAUUUUGGGCCAAUCUUGGAAAUUCUUCGGUGCCCUCUUAUGGACCAUCGGUAGAUCUGGCUCUCUGUCCUUGUAACAAGGCCAAAAGGAGCAGUUUGGCUCAGGGCGCCAGGAACGUCUUUGUAACCAGGGACUGGAGGAACACAGUGAAAGGACUUGGUCUGAACGCUUUCGUUGCCCUUCAGCCAGGUAAAAUGAGGUCCAGAUCAGUUCAAGCAUUUUCUUUGGCAUACCUGUAAAAUCUUUUUAAACUACCACUAUAACUACCUUAUAUUGUGCAUUCUGGCAGAGAAGACUGCGUUUUGCAUUUUGAGCAGGCCAUUUUGAUACUUUUCCAAACAUUUUUCAAGCUCAAGAAAUUAUUGAAAGCAAUACUUUCCUACCAAUAACUUUUCUUUUGAAAAAUUGGCAUUUAUGG